rnacentral:rRNA from 1 species
GGUUAAGCGACUAAGCGUACACGGUGGAUGCCCUGGCAGUCAGAGGCGAUGAAGGACGUGCUAAUCUGCGAUAAGCGUCGGUAAGGUGAUAUGAACCGUUAUAACCGGCGAUUUCCGAAUGGGGAAACCCAGUGUGAUUCGUCACACUAUCAUUAACUGAAUCCAUAGGUAAAUGAGGCGAACCGGGGGAACUGAAACAUCUAAGUACCCCGAGGAAAAGAAAUCAACCGAGAUUCCCCCAGUAGCGGCGAGCGAACGGGGAGCAGCCCAGAGCCUGAAUCAGUGUGUGUGUUAGUGGAAGCGUCUGGAAAGGCGCGCGAUACAGGGUGACAGCCCCGUACACAAAAAUGCACAUGCUGUGAGCUCGAUGAGUAGGGCGGGACACGUGGUAUCCUGUCUGAAUAUGGGGGGACCAUCCUCCAAGGCUAAAUACUCCUGACUGACCGAUAGUGAACCAGUACCGUGAGGGAAAGGCGAAAAGAACCCCGGCGAGGGGAGUGAAAAAGAACCUGAAACCGUGUACGUACAAGCAGUGGGAGCACGCUUAGGCGUGUGACUGCGUACCUUUUGUAUAAUGGGUCAGCGACUUAUAUUCUGUAGCAAGGUUAACCGAAUAGGGGAGCCGAAGGGAAACCGAGUCUUAACUGGGCGUUAAGUUGCAGGGUAUAGACCCGAAACCCGGUGAUCUAGCCAUGGGCAGGUUGAAGGUUGGGUAACACUAACUGGAGGACCGAACCGACUAAUGUUGAAAAAUUAGCGGAUGACUUGUGGCUGGGGGUGAAAGGCCAAUCAAACCGGGAGAUAGCUGGUUCUCCCCGAAAGCUAUUUAGGUAGCGCCUCGUGAAUUCAUCUCCGGGGGUAGAGCACUGUUUCGGCAAGGGGGUCAUCCCGACUUACCAACCCGAUGCAAACUGCGAAUACCGGAGAAUGUUAUCACGGGAGACACACGGCGGGUGCUAACGUCCGUCGUGAAGAGGGAAACAACCCAGACCGCCAGCUAAGGUCCCAAAGUCAUGGUUAAGUGGGAAACGAUGUGGGAAGGCCCAGACAGCCAGGAUGUUGGCUUAGAAGCAGCCAUCAUUUAAAGAAAGCGUAAUAGCUCACUGGUCGAGUCGGCCUGCGCGGAAGAUGUAACGGGGCUAAACCAUGCACCGAAGCUGCGGCAGCGACGCUUAUGCGUUGUUGGGUAGGGGAGCGUUCUGUAAGCCUGUGAAGGUGUGCUGUGAGGCAUGCUGGAGGUAUCAGAAGUGCGAAUGCUGACAUAAGUAACGAUAAAGCGGGUGAAAAGCCCGCUCGCCGGAAGACCAAGGGUUCCUGUCCAACGUUAAUCGGGGCAGGGUGAGUCGACCCCUAAGGCGAGGCCGAAAGGCGUAGUCGAUGGGAAACAGGUUAAUAUUCCUGUACUUGGUGUUACUGCGAAGGGGGGACGGAGAAGGCUAUGUUGGCCGGGCGACGGUUGUCCCGGUUUAAGCGUGUAGGCUGGUUUUCCAGGCAAAUCCGGAAAAUCAAGGCUGAGGCGUGAUGACGAGGCACUACGGUGCUGAAGCAACAAAUGCCCUGCUUCCAGGAAAAGC